rnacentral:rRNA from 1 species
UACAGGGGGUGCAAGCGUUGCUCGGAAUCACUGGGCGUAAAGCGUACGCAGGCGGACCGUUAAGUCGGGUGUGAAAGCCCGGGGCUCAACCCCGGAACUGCAUUCGAUACUGGCGGUCUUGAAUACGGGAGAGGUGAGUGGAAUUCCUGGUGUAGAGGUGAAAUUCGUAGAUAUUGGGAAGAAUACCGGUGGCGAAGGCGGCCUGCUGGGCAGUGGCUGACACUGAGGCGCGACAGCGUGGGGAGCAAACAGG